rnacentral:rRNA from 1 species
GACGAACCGAGCGAACGUUAUUCGGAAUCACUGGGCUUAAAGGGUGCGUAGGCGGGCGGUCAAGUCAGGGGUGAAAUCCUCCAGCUCAACUGGAGAAGUGCCUCUGAUACUGGCCGUCUCGAGGGAGGUAGGGGCGUGCGGAACUUCCGGUGGAGCGGUGAAAUGCGUAGAUAUCGGAAGGAACACCAGUGGCGAAAGCGGCGCGCUGGACCUCUUCUGACGCUGAGGCACGAAAGCCAGGGGAGCAAACGGG